rnacentral:rRNA from 1 species
CAUACUUUUCUCCCUGGGGGAGAGAGAUUUUACACAGUGGGCCUUGCAGCUGCCUGUUGGGCUAUUUGGCUGGCUCGAAAUCGAGCCACUUUUGAGAAAAAGAUGAUCAAAACACCAUUUGAAAUUUUCUUUUCCAUGUGUUCUUUCUUGCUUUAUUGGACAGGGCUGCAGCAAGGAGAUAAUGCUAAGAAGCUACGCACAGGCGCGGAACAGAUCAGGGCGGGUACCAUGUAG